rnacentral:rRNA from 1 species
GAGUUUGAUCCUGGCUCAGGACGAACGCUGGCGGUGCGCCUUAUGCAUGCAAGUCGAGCGAAGCUUUUCAGUAGUUUACUACAGAAAAUGACUGAGCGGCGAACGGGUGAGUAACGCGUGAGCAAUCUACCUUAGUUACAGGGAUAGCCCGAGGAAACUCGGAUUAAUACCUGAUAUUCUUUAUUUCUCGCAUGAGAAUAAAAGGAAAGGUCAGCCGAACUAAGAUGAGCUCGCGUUCUAUCAGCUAGUUGGUGAGGUAAAAGCUUACCAAGGCUACGACGGAUAGCUGGUCUGAGAGGACGAUCAGCCACACUGGGACUGAGACACGGCCCAGACUCCUACGGGAGGCUGCAGCAGGGAAUAUUGUGCAAUGAACGAAAGUUUGACACAGCGACACCGCGUGUGGGAUGACGGAUCUAGGUUUGUAAACCACUUUCAGGAGGGAAGAAAAUGACGGUACCUCCACAAGAAGCCCCGGCCAACUACGUGCCAGCAGCCGCGGUAAUACGUAGGGGGCGAGCGUUGUCCGGAUUUAUUGGGCGUAAAG